GAUGAACGCUGGCGGCGUGCUUAACACAUGCAAGUCGAACGAGAAGUGAAGACGGAAACCUUCGGGCGGAAGGCUUUAUUUCGAGUGGCGGACGGGUGAGUAACGCGUGGGUAACCUGCCUCAUACAGGGGGAUAACAGUUGGAAACGACUGUUAAUACCGCAUAAGACCACAGCACCGCAUGGUGCGGGGGUAAAAACUCCGGUGGUAUGAGAUGGACCCGCGUUCGAUUAGCCAGUUGGCGGGGUAACGGCCCACCAAAGCGACGAUCGAUAGCCGAUCUGAAAGGAUGACCGGCCACAUUGGGACUGAGACACGGCCCAAACUCCUACGGGAGGCAGCAGUGGGGAAUAUUGCACAAUGGGGGAAACCCUGAUGCAGCGACGCCGCGUGAGUGAAGAAGUAUUUCGGUAUGUAAAGCUCUAUCAGCAGGGAAGAAAAUGACGGUACCUGAGUAAGAAGCCCCGGCUAACUACGUG
rnacentral:rRNA from 1 species